AUGUACAUUCCUACAACAUAGCGUUAAUGCACCAUAUCCCAAUAGAACUCUGCAGCUAAGUGCGCUAAGGCUGGAGUAGUACUGAGAUGGGUGAUCGCCCAGGAAGUCCUAGUGUUUUAUAUG
rnacentral:rRNA from 1 species